rnacentral:rRNA from 1 species
ACUCCUACGGGAGGCAGCAGUGGGGAAUAUUGGACAAUGGGCGAAAGCCUGAUCCAGCCAUGCCGCGUGUGUGAAGAAGGUCUUCGGAUUGUAAAGCACUUUAAGUUGGGAGGAAGGGCAGUUACCUAAUACGUAAUUGUUUUGUACGUUACCGACAGAAUAAGCACCGGCUAACUCUGUGCCAGCAGCCGCGGUAAUACAGAGGGGUGCAAGCGUUAAUCGGAAUUACUGGGCGUAAAGCGCGCGUAGGUGGUUUGUUAAGUUGGAUGUGAAAUCCCCGGGGCUCAACCUGGGAACUGCAUUCAAAACUGACUGACUAGAGUAUGGUAGAGGGUGGUGGAAUUUCCUGUGUAGCGGUGAAAUGCGUAGAUAUAGGAAGGAACACCAGUGGCGAAGGCGACCACCUGGACUAAUACUGACACUGAGGUGCGAAAGCGUGGGGAGCAAACAGGAUUAGAUA